GAAAUGCGAUAAGUAGUGUGAAUUGCAGAAUUCAGUGAAUCAUCGAAUCUUUGAACGCACAUUGCGCCCCUUGGUAUUCCAUGGGGCAUGCCUGUUCGAGCGUCAUUUGUACCCUCAAGCUCUGCUUGGUGUUGGGUGUUUGUCCCCGUCUCCGCGCGUGGACUCGCCCCAAAGUGAUUGGCAGCCGGCGUACUGGUCCCGGAGCGCAGCACAUGUCGCGCAAACGAGUGCCUUGGUACGGCGGCGUCCAUAAGCCCCUCUCUCACGCUCUUGACCUCGGAUCAGGUAGGGAUACCCGCUGCACUUAAGC
rnacentral:misc_RNA from 1 species